rnacentral:rRNA from 1 species
UACGGAAGGCAGCAGUGGGGAAUAUUGCACAAUGGGCGCAAGCCUGAUGCAGCCAUGCCGCGUGUAUGAAGAAGGCCUUCGGGUUGUAAAGUACUUUCAGUCGUGAGGAAGGUGUUAAGGUUAAUAACCUUAGCAAUUGACGUUAGCGACAGAAGAAGCACCGGCUAACUCCGUGCCAGCAGCCGCGGUAAUACGGAGGGUGCGAGCGUUAAUCGGAAUUACUGGGCGUAAAGGGCACGCAGGCGGUUAAUUAAGUUGGAUGUGAAAUCCCCGGGCUUAACCUGGGAAUGGCAUUCAAGACUGGUUAGCUAGAGUCUUGUAGAGGGGGUAGAAUUCCAUGUGUAGCGGUGAAAUGCGUAGAGAUGUGGAGGAAUACCGGUGGCGAAGGCGGCCCCUGGGACAAAGACUGACGCUCAUGUGCGAAAGCGUGGGGAGCAAACAGGAUUAAUACC